rnacentral:lncRNA from 1 species
AUACUUUUCACAAAAUAGGGAAACAAUUUACAGCUCAAAAUCUUUUAUUAUUAUCUUAAAAGAAUUCUUCAAAAGGAAUAUAAAAUAAUAAAAGAGGGUCUGACGCCAAUCAAUAGAAAAGCGAAAAGAAUAUACUUGAUAUUGAAAACAACUAAACCUAAUAAAAAAUUCCACAACACUAUUCAUCAUUGUCAUCAUUAUCACUAAUCCAGCCUCCAUGAACCCUACAUUUCUUGGAAGGUUAUCCCUCAUCGUCUGAAAUAGGUGGAGGUGCAUCUUCAUGAAUAUAUAUCUCAGUAGGUAUACUAUCGUGCUCGGGGAUCGCAAGUCGAGCUUGCUCCCAUUGCUCUAUCAGCUCUGCGCAAAAAGCCUCAUAGUCAAUCUCUCGAGGUAAUGUAGGCACAGCAACUUCCCACAAAUAAUCAUAAAUCAAUUCGGCCAUCUCCAACCAUUCUUCUGGCAAGGUGUCAAUAAGGAGGCGGGUCGCCCGACGACCAGUGAUCAUAUAGCCUAGUUGCCUUACCUCCUUCCACCUUACUAACAUCUCCCAAAUGUGCUGGCCCAUAUUGUGUGCUGGGUUCCACCGAUACUCUUCAUACCGCCUUACGAUCUCAUGUUGAUGAGGCAUCAAUGAACUCGUCUUCCUACAAUUCUUCUUAGUCCGUACCAUCUAUCUCAUACCAAUUAUUUAAAGUUCAAUUAGUAGGUAUCUAAUAAGUUUUAGUUAAUUUUUGAGGACUUAAAUAAAUAUUUAAGUUUGGACACAUCAAAAUACUUGGUACAGUAAUGAUUAUCCACAAAGAAAAUACUCAAACAUAUAUUGAUAUUCAUACAUAUUUUUCAAUUGUUGUAUAUAGAAUAAACUUUCUCAUACUCGUUACAUAUAUACAACCAUAUUUAUAAACUUUCUUUACCUUAAAAUUGGCAUAGCGUGGCAAUGGCAUGCACAAUGCUUAGGAUCCUCUUUAAAACAUUUGAUCAACUUAAUAUGUAACGCGAUACAUCUAGGAUAUGAUUUCUUAUGCAAGUCUAAAGAAAAUAAAUUGUGCUCUCCUAAAUGCUUUGUACUUGAUGCAUUAAAAAAAUCUUAGUUUGAGCUCUAUAAUGUUAACCGAAAUAAAUUGUAAAUAAAAAAAAUUUGAUUUUGAAAUAAUAAAAAAAGUAUAUAAUGGAAGAUCUUAAUAUUUGACCAUAUAAACUUAGACAAAUAUGGUAUGAUUUAAUUUUGGAAAGCAUUUGGAGGAAAUUUAGCAAACACUGAUUGCUUAGAUGCAGAAAAAAGAAGAAGAUAUGCUCGGCCUAGCAAAUGUUGACUAAAAUUUAUGAAAUUUUAACAAAGAUUAUAACAUUCAUUUACGCACAACAUAUAAAAAAUUGGCUCUCAAUAGUUUUUCGAAAUUGACUGGCCGCACUCUACGAAAACAGACAUAACUUCUUCUCUAGGUAAUAUUUUAAGGUAAUUCCAAAGGCCACAAUUAGAAGACUCCCUUUCAAACACUAAAACAUGCAAUGUAGCUGGAGUUACGCUAUUUUUAAAUAGGAGGAUAGAAAUUGGAAUUUCAAUUCCGCAACUAUUAGACUUUAUGCAUAGUUUAUCCAACAUUUCUAAGUUAUAGCUGAUGUGAAAUGUAUAAAAACUAGAUGAAAUGGACAUUUAAACACUUUUAAAAGCGUCAUCUGAGUGUUCAUAAAAGAUUUACAUAACUGAUAAUUUUACUAUAAAGAGCAUAUUUCAAAUCGCCUAGCACUUGCCACUAUGCCAUGCCUCAAGUUAACCUGUAAAAUUUUUGUAGGGGAUGAGUACCACAAGUAAUAUUCAGUCGGAAGUAUUCAGUCGGAAAAAAAAAUUAUAUAUAUUUUUCAAAAAUGCAAAUUUUGGUUAUUUGUAUCACCAUCAAUUUUGCAAAGUGAACCAAUGAUCUGUCAGUUCACUUUCUCUUAGAUUUUGAUAACCCUUUUCAAGUACCAAAAAUCAUCCUCUUCAUAUCUUAUUCGAACAAGCAAAGGGUGCUUCCUUUUUCUUAUGAGUAACACAAUAAUACAUUUAAUGCAAAU